ACACACACCAUGCACACAUGCACAUGUAUGCACAGGCACACACACUUACCACAUACACACACACCAUGCAUAAUGCACAUCACCCAUACGUAUGCAUGUGCACACAUGUGCACACAUGCACACACAGGCAGACACACCCCAUAAAUAUGCACAUGUAUGCACACAUGCUCAUAUAGGCACACACACACCAUGCACUCACAAACAAGCUACACUUUGUUGCGCUGAUUCUUUUACAGCUUUCUCAAAUGUUUCUGUAGAUGUUGGUGCAUUUGAAUAUGUUACCACAUCUUCAAUUAAUUUUAAUAAUAUACACUUUUCGAAAAUUACCUUCUUCAACUACAUUUUCAAACUCUUUUAACUUACAAUGGUAAGAAUUGUUCUCUUCAAAUUCUGGUUUAUCCAAGGCUAGUCUUAUGAGGAGCAUUCGUGUUUUCUUACAUUUCUCCUUGGUUAACGAGUUAGAUUAUCCAUUCUAUUUUUCUAGAGUCAGCUCUCAGGCUUCAUUUAUCAAUUCACUUGUUUCCAUUUUCAAAUUCAUUAUUUCUGCUGUUAUCUGUAGUCCUUACUUCUGCUUUCCUUGGGUUUGUUUGUCUUUUAUUUCAAGUGAUUUCUUAAUUUCCUUUGACAGUUUUAAAACUGCGGAAUUAUUUUCUCAGUAUAGUCCAAGCUAUAUCCAAUAAGCUCUAGCAUGUAACUUUUUCUUUUUUGUUCUUUUCGAAAUACUGUGUCACUGCUGACUUGGUUUUUCUCUUUUAUCCAUGAGAUGACUGUUUUAAGUUCCCAGGAAGUGGGUCUUCUGGUUCCAGUUUAUUCCUGAAUUGUUAUUUUGACUGUCGUUACACUGUAGUUAGGAGAUGUGACCUCUACAAUCUCCAGCAUUUAGAAUGUAUUGCGGAUCCAGGGUCACAGGAAGUAAGGUGGGCUCUGUCGCAAGGAUGGUUAAAACAUAGACUUCCACGUCAGUCUUCCAUUAUUUGCAUACUCGAGACCCUGAUGUGCUGGCUGAUUUGCCAGGAAACCCCCGCAGCAGACUGCGUCCGCAGGGCAAGGCUGAGUAGCAGGGGCAGCACCUCUCAUAGGAGCAGGGCCGCCUGCCCAGCCUUAAGGAAGGGGACCCAGACAUUGCCUUUCUCAAUACUGCGCCCCUGAACAGGAUUUCUGGUGGUCUGGGGUCUGGGGCUAGGCUAUCUGGACCGUCAAACUCUUCCCACUGCGUCCUCAGCCCCACUCGGAAAGAAAGGGGAGAAAUGAGGGCUUUGCUUUAAAGAGUUCAACGGUCAGAAUGUGUCCCCAGCAAACUGACACGCUGGAAUCCUCAUCCCCAAGUGAGGGCGGGGUCUCACAUUAGCGGUGAUGAGGUCACAGAGGCAGAAACCUCACAAUAGGAUGGGGCCCCUUAUCAAAGAGGCCUGAGAGACGACACCUACCAGCUGGAAGGCGGCUCCGCACCAGACACCGAAGCUGCUGGGCCUUCGACCUCGGACCUCCAUCAUCCAGAACUGUGAGCAACACAUUCCUGAUGUUCCUGAGCCACCCCGGAACGGUAUUUUGUUACGGUAGCCCAAGUGGACCAAGAUAGGAGCUAAAGGUGCUUGUGAGGUUCCACGCAUCAUACUAGAGGUGUGAACACUGCACCCAAGGGUGCCUUGGAUCAUCCCUGAGAUGCAGGCUCUGCACCAGCAGGUGUCUUGGAUCAUUCCUGAGGUCACGCUGAAUCAAGAGAUGGGCUCCCAUGGCCUUGGAC